GAUGUGACCUCCCCGCAGUCGGAAUGCAAAUUGGUGAAAGUGACAGCGGUUUAAACCCUGAAGAGUGAUGACGGCGAAACAGCCGCAGUGGGAUGUUCAUGUUCAUGUGGAUGACAUCACACGUGAUGACAUCAUGCGUGAGGUCAUCUACAUCAUGGACCACAGCAGCUGGUUAAGUUUGGAACCAGAAGAAAGUGUCCUUCAGGAUUCUUUAUUCGUUAAAGAGCAGACUGUGUAACACACACCCCCCCCCCCGCCGCCCAAAAGAGCCUCAAGUGACUAUAAAAUGAUCCAGAUAUUUGCCCCGGAGGCGCCGAUAAGGCAAUACUUAGAACCCAAAGAUUUACAUAAAUUAUUGGUGUCCUCCCUCCAGUUAUUUUUGUCAGAGUGGGAAUGGAACUGAAAUGUUAUUUAUGAAAGAGCCCCGAUAGAACUCUACUUCAUUCCAUUUGAAUAGAAUUAACUUUAUUUUGAAGGAACGAAGCAGCACUGUCAGUCCUCCUCUCUGAGGCUUCUGGCCCUCAUUCGUCUCCUGGUGCUCGGUGACUUCCAACGAAUCAGUAUUCCAGAACAUCUCCGCAGCCGUCUGGUGGAGGAGCACAUCUUCAUGCAGGAGAUCACCUCCCUGGCCUCGGAGUCUGUUGACCAGAUGGAGGACUCUCAGUGGUUCCUCCUCACACUGAGACUCUGGAGGACACUCUGAACACCAUCAGGUCUCCUUCAUUUGUGUUCUAAUCACUAAACCAACAGCUGUUCUUCCUCCACUCAUCUUCUGGCUGGAGGUCCUGUCCUCUCUCCUGCAUCCAAAGAGAUGAACAUCAGACAAACGGUGAAGAGCUCAGAGCUCCUCAGGCUGAUGUGAGACGGAGACGCCUUCGCCCCCUGAAUGCAAACGGCAACGUUAUCGUGUGCGCGUUCAAUUCAACCAUAAAUCACACAAUGACAGAAAGUCCUCCGGCGGGGGGGGGGGGGGGGGGGGGGCGUGCCAGAGAGGGCUUCCAGUCAGAAUACAAAGAGGAGUCACACAGUCCAUCAGAUGUCUCCAUCUUGGUCUCCUCGGGAAUCGGCAACUCACCUUUUGUCAUUUACCGUGAUUCUGAUCUUCAGAUGAGAUCAAACGUCCUUUUACCUCUUUACUACUUUCUCCUAAACUCACCAAACGUUACUAUUUAAUGGCGAGGUGUGUUUCACAGUGAGUGCUCCUCUUAAUGUAGUGAUGAAGUGGUGAACUCUCGUGUUGAUGUCUCCUCUGAGCUGCUCGUGUUGAAUGGAGCAGGAGGGAGGAGGUCAUUAAAACAGAGGGAAGCGUCGGUGUGAAAUGAAGAGGAAGCCAUCUGUCAUGGAGCGACGAGGCUUCACCUGGAUGCUAAUGAGCCUCAAACCGCCGGCAGAGGAAAUAUUAAACUGUUAAACGUGAGCGAUGAUGGCGAGCCGGCGGAGGAGGAAGGUCGCUGCUUUUAACGCGUCUCUUUUUCUUUCAUCCGGGGACAAACAUCCUGCCGUCUGUGUUUUGACUGGUCCUGAAUCAAGAUCAGCAGAGACCAGUCCACCGUGGACAGACCAGGGUCCUCCAGCAGAGACCAGUCCACCGUGGACAGACCCAGGUCCUCCAGUAGAGACCAGUCCACUGUGGACAGACCCAGGUCCUCCAGAAGAGACCAGUCCACUGUGGACAGACCAAGGUCCUCCAGCAGAGACCAUUUCACCGCGGACAGACCCAGGUCCUCCAGAAGAGACCAGUCCACUGUGGACAGACCCAGGUCCUCCAGAAGAGACCAGUCCACUGUGGACAGACCAGGGUCCUCAGUAGAGACCAGUCCACUGUGGACAGACCCAGGUCCUCCAGUAGAGACCAGUCCACCGUGGACAGACCCAGGUCCUCCAGCAGAGACCAGUUCACUGUGGACAGACCAGAGUCCUCCAGUAGAGACCAGUUCAUUGUGGACAGACCAAGGUCCUCCAGCAGAGACCAGUUCACCGUGGACAGACCAAGGUCCUCCAGCAGAGACCAGUUCACCGCGGACAGACCCAGGUCCUCCAGUAGCGACCAGUCCACCGUGGACAGACCAGGGUCCUCCAGUAGAGACCAGUCCACUGUGGACAGACCAGGGUCCUCAGCAGAGACCAGUCCACCGUGGACGAUGGAUGGUGGUGAUUCUGGUCCUCCUGCUGACUGAACUGAGUGCAUGAAUCUUCUUCUCCAUGAAUCACAUGCUCAUAUUGCUGCCUCCCCCCUCACCC
ensembl:lncRNA